rnacentral:misc_RNA from 1 species
UUCAGGCAAGCUUAAUGAUGAUUGUAGUGAUCCUGAUGCUAAUAUAGUGAGGUCAAGCCCAAAAAUGAUAUCCCUGUGGAAGCGUGCAAUUGAGGCAAGCAAGGCAAUCUUGCUGGAUGAGAUUGACCUUGGUCCUGAUGAUCUUCUGAGGAAAGUAGAGGAAUUCGAGAACAUUUCACAAGCUACAGAACACUCCUAUCCAGCUGUAAUUUUGUCUAACGAGGAUGGUGCCAAUAAUAUAAUGUCAGCAUUUGAAGAUGGUUCGCCUAGUGAAAGUUUUGUUGAAGAUGGCACACAUAAUGAUGAUGAGUAUGAAGAUGAUGAAUAUUAUGAUAGUGACUCUUUUGAAGAAGUAGAUGCUUCAGUCCCUCUAGGAUCAUUACCUGUUGAUCUGAUAGCAGAAGAACUCGAUCGAGAAGAAUGAAAUUGCUGAUGUUACUGUUACAAGUGGCAGUUACAUUGUCACGAAAAUCGAAGAGGUUGGUACAGUUAAAAGAUCAGUAAUAUUUGGAGAAAAAGGUGGUCGGAAGAUUUGAGCUUGUCUAUUUCUGAAGGCUGUACGUGUAAGUUGCUUAAAAGCAGUGAAAUUUCAGCAACUCACUGCCACCAGCAAGUCUACCUAUGGUGUAAAUCUGUAGAGUAAAUGAAAGGACUGUUAUUCUGUUUAUGAUUUUUGCUGUGUCACAGAUAUGUCUUUCCCCAUUGUAAGACAAAGGGAUGAUAAUUGAUUGGAAAAUUUUGGAGGGGCCCUCUUGUGAAGUUGAUAAUUGGUAACCAUUAAUGCCCUGGGAGUUGAGGAUUGAUAAACCAACUACUUGUGUCCUGUGCCAAUUCACCAUCUUCGGAAGAGAAUGGUUUGUACCCAAACUUAAUUGCAGGGUGGUUGGCAAAGUAAGGAUCAGUUCAGUUCAACUCGAAAAUCUCUUUGGAUGAGAACUUUUUUUUUUUUAACCAAAGUUCUGAAAGGGAAAAUACUUGGACUAUAAUCUGUCUCUUAUAUUUCAACGUAGGUUAACUCAAUAAUGGAAAAUUAUUACUAUUUUUAUUUAAUUUCAAUAAGAUGAAAUUCAUAAAUUCA